ensembl:lncRNA
AUCUUUACCACUUUGUCCUUUGCUGUCUCAUUGUAUUGUCAGUCUAGAAUAUUUCUUUUAGUUCUGUUGAAGCAAUUCUUGCAGACAUGAUGCUCCCAAUCUCCAGCAUGGCUUUCCCAUUCCCAGUCUCGCUCCUAGUCCAUGUGUGGAUAUUGGGGCUUGCAGGCACUCCAGGAAGCACACACUGGCUGCUCUCCUUUCUGGUUGGCUUUUGUGACUGUUUAUUUUAGGAAAGGAGCAGAUGAUGGAAAAACAUUGUCACAUGCUGCAGACAUCUGUGCUUUAGCCAGUUCUGUGGAACUUCUAUUUCUUCAGCAGCAUUCUGCAUGCAAGAUUGGGUUAGAGGCCCUCUGAUAUGGGAGCGGUAAAACAGAGCUACGAAAGGCGUGUGCCCUGGGAGUAGUUUGCAGCCUCUGCCAGGGAGAUGCCAGGACACAGUGGAAAAGGAUGACGGUGGAAAUAAUGUGAACGUGCUUUCCUAGAUGGUUAAGCUCAGAUGAAGACGAAACAAGACAGUGAAUUUUUUUGGCAUCUUAAACAUUCUG